AAGGUAUUACUCAUAGCUCCUAAUAGAGUACAAACAUUUAAAAGUUAUCUUAAUAUUUUGUACCUUCCCCUAAAUCAGUCAUCACAUGGUGACACUUGGUUAGCAAUUAAAUACUAGUCUAACAAUUAUGAAAAAAUAGUUGUUUUUUUUUAGUUCAUAUCAUAAAAAAAAUUAGGAACAAGAAAUUCAACAAUAGUUAAAUAUCUG